GAUGAACGCUGGCGGCGUGCCUAAUACAUGCAAGUCGAGCGAACGGACGAGAAGCUUGCUUUUCUGAUGUUAGCGGCGGACGGGUGAGUAACACGUGGAUAACCUACCUAUAAGACUGGGAUAACUUCGGGAAACCGGAGCUAAUACCGGAUAAUAUUUUGAACCGCAUGGUUCAAAAGUGAAAGACGGUCUUGCUGUCACUUAUAGAUGGAUCCGCGCUGCAUUAGCUAGUUGGUAAGGUAACGGCUUACCAAGGCAACGAUGCAUAGCCGACCUGAGAGGGUGAUCGGCCACACUGGAACUGAGACACGGUCCAGACUCCUACGGGAGGCAGCAGUAGGGAAUCUUCCGCAAUGGGCGAAAGCCUGACGGAGCAACGCCGCGUGAGUGAUGAAGGUCUUCGGAUCGUAAAACUCUGUUAUUAGGGAAGAACAUAUGUGUAAGUAACUGUGCACAUCUUGACGGUACCUAAUCAGAAAGCCGCGGCUAACUACGUG
rnacentral:rRNA from 1 species